rnacentral:lncRNA from 1 species
UUUUUUUUUUUUUUUUUUUUUUUUUUUUAAGAUUUUAUUUAUUUAUUCAUGAGAGACAGAGAGAGACAGAGACACAGGCAGGGGGAGAAGCAGGCUCCAUGCAAGGAGCCCAAUGUGGGACUUGAUCCUGGAUCUCCAGGAUCACACCCCAGGCUGCAGGCGGCGCUAAACCGCUGCACCACCGGGGCUGCCCAAGGGCAGGUUUUAUCGUGAUAGUUUUAUUACUUGUGAACAUUUCCCUUUCUGGGAAAGUUAUGGAUGACUUCGUUUGGUUGAAAAACCUGAGUGAUCUGAAAGGGGAAAUAGACUGGUUUUUCCCAUCACCUUUUCUUCGGGACAAAUUUUGUAUCUAGAACUUAUUCCAACCUGUAGCUUACUCCAGUUUACCAUAUAUCAUUUUUGAAAUACAAUCUUGUCUGAAAACAGCAAUGUCUAAAUUUUGUCUAAUCAUCUCUGUGUAUGUAGAAAAACAUAGGAAAUUCAUUCUUAGGUGGUGCUAAGAAAAUUUAGUCCUGAAGUUUGUGCUGGUAUCCUUGUGAAGCCUUAGGAACAUGUUUCCAACUUAAAUUGAUAGUUGUAUGUGGUCUAGCCUUGACUGUGCUAAUGGACAUCUGUAGAGUUUUUCUAAUCAAGGUCAGGAUUUCAUAUAUAUGUUGGAGAUGCACUAUUUUGAGAUUUUCAUUUUGUUGUGAAUCACAGUGAUUUGGGACGUUAAGCAGAUCAUGCAAGUUCAAGUUAGUGGCACUUCUAAAAGUUAUCUGAAGGUGUUGAAUGAAUAUUUGCUAUACUUUUUGGUAAACCAAAUUGAUUCUUUUUUUUUUUUUUUUUUUUUUGGUAUUCUUCCAAAUACUAAGCACAUCAAGUUGACAGUAACAAAUACUUUGAAUAUCACGGAUUUGGGUUAAUAAAAUUUAGGCAAGGCAGGCACCAAAUCGCUGAGCCACCCAGGGAUCCCCAGUUUUGAAAUUUAAUUACAAAAAAUUGAAAUUUAAAUUCUUAGUCACACUAGCCACAUAUCCAGUGCAGAAGAGCCUUAUAUAACUAUUGGCUACCAUAUUGGAGAGUGCAUCUCCUUACACUCAGGAGCAAAUGAGUGUGUAUAUGCAUAUUGUUUCUCUGUCUUUAUAGGCAGUUGGUGUGGUUCGUACCUUGCUUUUUUACUUAGUCCUAUAACUUGGCAAUUACUCCAUUUCACUACAUAAAGGGCUCUAUUUUUUUCCCCUAGUGUGUACUAUGUUUAUGUAGGGUGAACCAUGACUUACAUAACUAAUCCCCUAUUGAUGGAUACUUGGAUUUAUUCCCUUUCCCCUAAUCACUUUGCUAUUAUGAAGUGGCCAUUUUAGCAUUCUUUACACAGUUUACAAUCUACUGUGCUAAUACUCUUUUCCUGGUAUGUUUACCUUAAUUAGAUUGUGAAAUCCUAAAAAGCAGAGGCCAUGUUCUUCUUUUGUGAUACUGCUGGGUUUAAUUUAAUGUCCUUCACAUACCUAGACACCUAAUUAUGAGUUUUGGAUAGAUAUUAUUUGAAUUUGUGUGAACCUGAGCAAGAGGUCCAUUUUGGGGAUGAAGGCUAGUGGAUUAUUUGUUCACUAGAGAGGUAAAAGCCCUGUUACCUCUCUAGUGAACAAAGCAUCAAAACUGAGUAACAUUCAGUUUUACAGCCAUUAAUCAUUGAAUUGUUAAGCCACCAUCAAAUGCUACACCAUUUAAAGAGCUGUUGUAAAUCUCUUAGCACUCUAUUAUAAAAUUCCAUUCUUGAUCUGAUAUUAUCUUUUAGCAUUAUUCCCUGUGGUGGUGUUUAUGAAAGAAAUAUGCAUUUCAUUAGUAGUAUAAGUGAAAAUUCUGAGUAAUGUUUCUGUCUCAAACUUAGACAAAACCAAGUGUUUGGCCAUCAUGGGGUUGCUUAACAGGACAUAAAUACCAUGUGAUUAUUUAUAGCCUGAAUAUUCCUAUUUGAAAAUUAUAGCAGAAUAACAUUUGAUUGAUAGAGUAUAGGUUUUGAAAAUGAAGCAAUUAGUCAUUAAUUGCAUGAUUAAUUAGUAUAUAAGAAUUGUAUUCAUUUGUGUCGAAUAAAUGUCUGAAUCGUCAAGAGCCUUGCUAUUUGGAUUCGGUUAUUCUACUGGUCUAAGAAAUUAGCCUUUGAUGUGAACAAGAGUAGCUAAAGAAUAAGAACAAAUAAUAAAGGGUAUUUUCUUCCAGCUCAUGAAAGAAGAAAUUGAGAAUUUAAGUGUAUCAUGAGUGGAAGAAAUUAAAUUGUUGAAUGGGCACCUAGGAAAGAAAAAUCAGUACAAGUGUUCUUUCUCCCUAGUGUUUUUGGAAGGUCUACUUCAAGGUGUGUACAAAACUGCAAAUAUUAUAGUAGAAAACAGGUUUGUUCAUUUUGUUUUUCUAAGAAUGUUUCUGGCAGCAAGUUGGCUUUUUACAUUGUCUUCAAAUAAGAUGAAAUUCUAAGCCAGAAUUCAUAAAAAAAAAAGAAACCCUUAAAAAUUAAAAGUUUAAUGUAUGCGCAGGUGUACAGCAUUCCAUAAAGCAUUUUAAGUGAGGUAAUUCUCUCCAUUUAACUCUACAAUCCACCAUAUAGUUGUCCAAUGAGGUGAACCAGUGCAUUUGGCUCUCGAGCAUUUACCAGCUUUGCUUUUGGUUUCAAAUAAAACUGGUCCAGCCAGAAGUCAGAGUAACACUCAGCAGGCAGCUGUUGCAGAAUGGACUCGGUUGACGGGAGAUCUGGAACCCAGUCUCUGUUCUACUUGUUGGCUGGUUACUUUCUUCCCCUCAUCAGGCCUCAGUGGCCGGUGGAAGAAGAUAAUUAUACAGCACAAAAGUCUGGAAGUAACACCAGCACAUAACAGACUUUCAGUUUUGCUUGUUAAAUUAUAAAUAUUACCUGCUUUUUUGGAAACAGUUUCUUGUAAUGCUGACAUCGUUAUUGUACUAAACGGAAAUCAAAGAGAAAGAGAACGUGUCUGUUCUCAUUUCUCUCUCCCGGGAAGUGAAAGGAAGAUGAGGUUGGUUUUCUUCAUCAGUCCUCCAUGAAAGUCUGUGCCAAGUGCAGGGAAGUUGUUCUUGGAACACUGAAUACAAAAUGGGUACUAAUCUUAAUGAAAAUCACAUUCCCUUUUAGGGGAGAAAAAUGCCCCCUCUGAGAUUAGGAGUAUGCUACCAAGGUGAUUGCAGUUGUGAUUGUUUCCUCACUCCACCAUUGUGGGAAUUGCCUUAUAUUUUUGUAUUUCACUUUUCUUCUCUGUGAGAGGAGAGUAACUCUAACUGCAUUUCUUUGAUUUUUUUUUUGUUAGGACUGAUAUGUAGUGAAUGAACAUUUUCUAUUGUAAUGUCAUGGACAAGAACAUCAUUAUUCAAAAGAGGGAAUGGGAAUUUGAGACACUAUUCUAACCAUAGACUCGUAUAUUGAAGAUUUUUUUUUUUUUUUUACAUCGUGAUUACAGUGAUACUAUCAUUUAGGAUAGGAGGCUAGUGGGCAGCAUUUCUUCCAGAUCGUAGAAAGCUGUAACUCUUCAGGUUCUGGUGGCAGCAUUGAUAGCAUGAUCCAAAAGUUAACUCUGCAAACCCAUGACUAAAAGCCUUUAUUAGAGCAAAUACAAUUAAAUAUAGUCGUAUUAAUGUUUUUCUAGAUUUGCUUUUUUUUUUUUUUUUUGCUAAUACAGGAUUAUUUUCCAUAUUCUUGCAGGUAAGAUUGGAUAUCGAAAAGGCUAUUCAGAAUUUCUUGACCUAAUUAAGAUCUACUUUUUCUUAAUAUAAUGAAAAUUUUGAGGCAGAAUGAAUUAUACUUAUGCAUAGACUCUGUACUUGGAAAGUUUCUUGAACAUUAAGGUGUUCCCGGUAAAUUUUCUUUUAAAUAAAUGUGUUUUACAAGACCGUAUAUAAUAUGGAACCUCAGUUACUUCAGGGUUUAAACAAAUAUUUUUAAGUUCAGAUUUCCACUAAUUAAAAAGAUCAGGAAAAAAAAAAAAAA